rnacentral:rRNA from 1 species
GAACGCUGGCGGCAUGCCUUACACAUGCAAGUCGAACGGUAGAGUAGCAAUACUUGAGAGUGGCGAACGGGUGAGUAAUAUAUCGGAACGUGCCCAGUCGUGGGGGAUAACGUAGAGAAAUUUACGCUAAUACCGCAUACGAUCUAUGGAUGAAAGCGGGGGAUCGCAAGACCUCGCGCGAUUGGAGCGGCCGAUAUCAGAUUAGGUAGUUGGUGAGGUAAAGGCUCACCAAGCCGACGAUCUGUAGCUGGUCUGAGAGGACGACCAGGCCACACUGGGACUGAGACACGGCCCAGACUCCUACGGGAGGCAGCAGUGGGGAAUUUUGGACAAUGGGCGCAAGCCUGAUCCAGCAAUGCCGCGUGCAGGAUGAAGGCCUUCGGGUUGUAAACUGCUUUGUACGGAACGAAACGGUGAGCUCUAAUACAGUUUGCUAAUGACGGUACCGUAAGAAUAAGCACCGGCUAACUACGUG